rnacentral:rRNA from 1 species
AUUGAACGCUGGCGGCAGGCUUAACACAUGCAAGUCGAGCGGUAACAGGAGAAGCUUGCUUCUCGCUGACGAGCGGCGGACGGGUGAGUAAUACUUAGGAAUCUACCUAGUAGUGGGGGAUAGCUCGGGGAAACUCGAAUUAAUACCGCAUACGACCUACGGGAGAAAGGGGGCAACUUGUUGCUCUCGCUAUUAGAUGAGCCUAAGUCGGAUUAGCUAGAUGGUGGGGUAAAGGCCUACCAUGGCGACGAUCUGUAGCUGGUCUGAGAGGAUGAUCAGCCACUCCGGGACUGAGACACGGCCCGGAAUCCUACGGGAGGCAGUAGUGGGGUAUAUUGGACAAUGGGGGCAACCCUGAUCCAGCCACGCCGCGUGUGUGAAGAAGGCCUUUUGGUUGUAAAGCACUUUAAGCAGUGAAGAAGACUCUAGGGUUAAUACCCUUAGACGAUGACAUUAGCUGCAGAAUAAGCACCGGCUAACUCUGUGCCAGCCGCCGCGGUAA